CUAUAGACAGGGAGCAAAAGGGUGAUGCGUCAUCUGAUGAGAGUACCUGUAGAAUAAGCACCGGCUAACUACGUGCCAGCAGCCGCGGUAAUACGUAGGGUGCGAGCGUUGUCCGGAUUUAUUGGGUUUAAAGGGUGCGUAGGCGGUUUCUUAAGUUAGUGUUCAAAUACGAUGGCUCAACCACCGGUCGGGCAUUAAAACUGGGAAACUUGAGUAAGGUUAAGGCAGCUGGAAUUUGUGGUGUAGCGGUGAAAUGCUCAGAUACCACAAGGAACGCCGAUCGUGAAGACAGGCUGCAGGGCCUUUACUGACGCUGAGGCACGAAAGUGUGGGGAGCAAACAGGAUUAGAUACCCUGGUAGUCCACACUGUAAACGAUGCAUACUGGGUGUCGGACAUUAGUUUCGGUGCCUGAGCGAAAGUGGUAAGUAUGCCACCUGGGGAGUACGCCGGCAACGGUGA
rnacentral:rRNA from 1 species